GCUUCCUUGAUGGAAAUGGUAGACAUAACAGACUUAAAAUCUGUGGGCGACAAAGCCGUGCCGGUUCAAGUCCGGCAGGAAGCACCA
rnacentral:tRNA from 1 species